GAUGAACGCUGGCGGCGUGCCUAAUACAUGCAAGUCGAGCGAACGGACGAGAAGCUUGCUUCUCUGAUGUUAGCGGCGGACGGGUGAGUAACACGUGGAUAACCUACCUAUAAGACUGGGAUAACUUCGGGAAACCGGAGCUAAUACCGGAUAAUAUUUUGAACCGCAUGGUUCAAAAGUGAAAGACGGUCUUGCUGUCACUUAUAGAUGGAUCCGCGCUGCAUUAGCUAGUUGGUAAGGUAACGGCUUACCAAGGCAACGAUGCAUAGCCGACCUGAGAGGGUGAUCGGCCACACUGGAACUGAGACACGAUCCAGACUCCUACGGGAGGCAGCAGUAGGGAAUCUUCCGCAAUGGGCGAAAGCCUGACGGAGCAACGCCGCGUGAGUGAUGAAGGUCUUCGGAUCGUAAAACUCUGUUAUUAGGGAAGAACAUAUGUGUAAGUAACUGUGCACAUCUUGACGGUACCUAAUCAGAAAGCCACGGCUAACUACGU
rnacentral:rRNA from 1 species